UUUUUAUAUUUUACUUUAUUUAAAAUAAAAUAAAAUAUUUGAUUGGGGUGAUUAUAAAAUUAAAUUAACUUUUAUUUAUUUAUUACAUUAAUUUAUGAAUAGUAGAUUUUAAUAAUAAAUUUUUAAGAUAAGU
rnacentral:rRNA from 1 species